rnacentral:snoRNA from 1 species
UGCCUCUGUGUUGCCCUCUCAUUGUGUCAGUCAUGAACAGGGUGUCUACUGAGGCAUACAGUGACUCUUGUGGUUGUGAGAGAAUUGUAUCUUUGAUGAUCUGUUUCUGCACAAACUUCAAGCACAGUU